GGAGGCGUCGCAUAGCGGUCUAGUGCGCACGCUUGGAAAGCGUGUGAGGGGAAACCCUCCGAGAGUUCGAAUCUCUCCGCCUCCGCCA
rnacentral:tRNA from 1 species